AUCCAGUUGUCGAGUCCCAUAUAGGACGAAAUGUACAUACUGGAU
rnacentral:hammerhead_ribozyme from 1 species